GUUGUUAUUCUGUGUCUAGGGUGUGGUUAAGUGUUGGAUAUGAAGUGUUUCAUGCUUAAACUCAGAUCAUAUAACACUUGGACAAGCAUAGUGAAAAUGAAAGAAAAAGCAUGAUACUACAUUCUAAUGCUUAAUUUACAUUCCUAUAGAAGUGCAUGUGUUUACAUUGUGUAGUAUGAUCUUAAUGUGAGUAUUAAUAUCAUGCUACAGCUUCUGAGAGAAAGGGAGUUGAGGAGAGGGUGAUUACUAGAGGAAAAGGGCUAGGGGAGCCAUCUAGUUCAGGUAAAGAAAAGGAAAAAGAACCAAGAGAGGAUCAUUUUUAUUUGAUGUAGAUAGUAUGCUACUGAUGUAGCUAUUGUAUAUUUGACUUCUUUUAGAAUAUGUAUGAUGUAUUAAACAUUAACAGAUCAUCUAUGUAUAUUUGAGCAGAUUCAUGUGAAUUAUGAUUGUAUGAAUUUGAAAAUUUAUAGUCUAUUAAGUAAUUAAUUUCUAUUAUGUA